rnacentral:rRNA from 1 species
GUUGAACGCUGGCGGCGUGCCUAACACAUGCAAGUCGAGCGGAUGAAGGGAGCUUUCUCCUGGAUUCCGCGGCGGACGGGUGAGUAAUUCCUAGGAAUCUGCCUGGUUGUUGUGGAUAACGUCCGGAAACGGGCGCUAAUACCGCAUCCGUCCUGAGGGUGAAAGUGGGGGAUCUUCGGACCUCACGCUAUCAGAUGAGCCUAGGUCGGAUUAGCUAGUUGGUGGGGUAAAGGCCUACCAAGGCGACGAUCCGAAGCUGGCCUGAGAGGAUGAUCGGUCACACUGGAACUGAGACACGGUCCAGACUCCUACGGGAGGCAGCAGUGGGGAAUAUUGGACAAUGGGCGAAAGCCUGACCCAGCGAUGCCGCGUGUGUGAAGAAGGUCUUCGGAUUGUAAAGCACUUUAAGUUGGGAGGAACGGCAGUAAGUUAAUACCUUGCUGUCUUGACGUUACCAACAGAAUAAGCACCGGCUAACUUCGUG